AAGUCGUAACAAGGUUUCCGUAGGUGAACCUGCGGAAGGAUCAUUAUUGAAACUUCUUUGGAAGUAGUACUGUUGCUGGCCUUGUAAUGAGGUAUGUGCACGUACUAUUUCUAAUCUAUUCAUCCACCUGUGCACUUAUUGUAGGGGUUUUUUGGGGUUAGCUUGUUAUAGGCUUCGGCUUAUGCAGGUUGACUUUAAAAAGGCUUCUAUGUCUUACAAACCUAUUGAAGUAUGUUUUAGAAUGUCUUUUAUUGGGACUUUAUUGGCCCUUUAAACUUAUACAACUUUUAGCAACGGAUCUCUUGGCUCUC
rnacentral:misc_RNA from 1 species